ACAGAGAGUAGCUUGCUACUUUGCUGACGAGCGGCGGACGGGUGAGUAAUGCUUGGGAAUAUGCCUUUUGGUGGGGGACAACAGUUGGAAACGACUGCUAAUACCGCAUAAUGUCUACGGACCAAAGUGGGGGACCUUCGGGCCUCACGCCAAAAGAUUAGCCCAAGUGGGAUUAGCUAGUUGGUAAGGUAAUGGCUUACCAAGGCAACGAUCCCUAGCUGGUUUGAGAGGAUGAUCAGCCACACUGGGACUGAGACACGGCCCAGACUCCUACGGGAGGCAGCAGUGGGGAAUAUUGCACAAUGGGCGCAAGCCUGAUGCAGCCAUGCCGCGUGUGUGAAGAAGGCCUUCGGGUUGUAAAGCACUUUCAGUAAGGAGGAAAGGGUAGUCUUUAAUAGAGGCUAUCUGUGACGUUACUUACAGAAGAAGCACCGGCUAACUCCGUGCCAGCAGCCGCGGUAAUACGGAGGGUGCGAGCGUUAAUCGGAAUUACUGGGCGUAAAGCGUACGCAGGCGGUUUGUUAAGCGAGAUGUGAAAGCCCCGGGCUCAACCUGGGGAA
rnacentral:rRNA from 1 species